GUAUUCACUUUAGCAACACAUAUCUUAGAACUAUAAUGAUACAGAGAAGAUUAAGAUGGCCCCUGUGCAAAGAUGCCAUAGCAACUCAUAAAACAUUCAAUACUUCU
ensembl:snRNA U6 U6 spliceosomal RNA